AACCUUACCCGGGCUUGAAAGUUAGUGAAUGAUUCAGAGACGAAUCAGUCCUUCGGGACACGAAACUAGGUGCUGCAUGGCUGUCGUCAGCUCGUGCCGUGAGGUGUUGGGUUAAGUCCCCGCAACGAGCGCAACCCCUAUGUUUAGUUGCCAGCAUUUCAGGUGGGGACUCUAAACAGACUGCCUGCGCAAGCAGAGAGGAAGGUGGGGACGACGUCAAGUCAUCAUGGCCCUUACGUCCGGGGCUACACACGUGCUACAAUGGAUGGUACAGCGGGCAGCUACCUGGUAACAGGAUGCUAAUCUCGAAAAGCCAUUCACAGUUCGGAUUGAGGUCUGCAACUCGACCUCAUGAAGUUGGAUUCGCUAGUAAUCGCGUAUCAGCAAUGACGCGGUGAAUACGUUCCCGGGCCUUGUACACACCGCCCGUCAAGCCAUGAAAGUUGGGGGUGCCUAAAGCAUGUAACCGCAAGGAGCGUGUUAGGGUAAAACCGAUAAUUGGGGCUAAGUCGUAACAAGGUAAGCGUAGUGCU
rnacentral:rRNA from 1 species